rnacentral:rRNA from 1 species
UUGGAGGGCAAGUCUGGUGCCAGCAGCCGCGGUAAUUCCAGCUCCAAUAGCGUAUAUUAAAGUUGUUGCAGUUAAAAAGCUCGUAGUUGAAUUUCGAGACCGGUCUACUGGUCGUGCUUUUGUACGUACUGGUAUAAUCGGUUUCUCUCUUCUGACGAACUAUAAUGCCAUUAAUUUGGUGUUUUAGGGAAUCAGGACUGUUACUUUGAAAAAAUUAGAGUGUUUAAAGCAGGCUCACGCUUGAAUACAUUAGCAUGGAAUAACGAAAUAGGACGUUUGAUUCUAUUUUGUUGGUUUCUAGGAUCGACGUAAUGAUUAAUAGGGAUAGUUGGGGGCAUUAGUAUUCACUUGUCAGAGGUGAAAUUCUUGGAUUUAUUGAAGACUAACUACUGCGAAAGCAUUUGCCAAGGAUGUUUUCAUUAAUCAAGAACGAAAGUUAGGGGAACGAAGACGAUCAGAUACCGUCGUAGUCUUAACCAUAAACUAUGCCGGCUAGGGAUCGGAUGAUGUUAAAUUAAUGACUUAUUCGGCGCCUUACGGGAAAC